rnacentral:rRNA from 1 species
AGAAUCAACGCUGGCGGCGUGCCUAACACAUGCAAGUCGAACGCGAAAGGGGCUUCGGCCCUGAGUAGAGUGGCGAACGGGUGAGUAACACGUGGGUGAUCUACCUCUGAGUGGGGGAUAACGGUCCGAAAGGACGCUAAUACCGCAUGACGUUCUGGGUUUGAAGACCUGGAAACCAAAGUCGGGGACCGCAAGGCCUGACGCUUGGAGAGGAGCCCGCGCCUGAUUAGCUAGUUGGUGAGGUAACGGCUCACCAAGGCAACGAUCA